CCCGGGAAAGGGGCUAGAUGCCGCCGGGGCUUGGCCAGCGAAGGCAAACUCAGCCUCUGCUGGAAAGAGGUGUCAGCUUUGGUGCAGAUCUGAUCACACCAUUCCUGACUCUCACACCUGUGGAAAUCUCACUCUAUCCAGCCAGAAAGGCUCUUCCAUCUUGUCUCCCUGACUGCCUGCCAUACUCAGAAGCAGGCUAUGAUUACAGAUACUGUGAUAACAUUUCUUGACAUGUGACUGGAAGACAAAGGAGGAAAGUUUAAAACUUCAGAGACACAUGUGAUUUGCACAGCAGGUUCUACAGAAAUUGGAGGAUCUCUGCAUCACCCUAUAACAUGGAUCGCACACAAGAAAGAGGUAUAAACCAAAAUCUUGAACUUGAAGAGCCCACAUUUCCAAGGCAAAACAGAAUAUCUCUGGCCUUUUUUAAAUUCUGCCAGCUUUAAGUAGAAGAGAAAAUAUGUAGUAAGCAAAGGAUAAAAUACCAUUCUCGUCUUACCCCUAUUGUCUAGAAAGAGAUUAUGAGAGUUCCUGGAGUGAAUGAACAUAAGUAACCAGUUUAUAAAUAGUUUAUUAAUUUUAGCAAUGAUUAAUAAGAAAUAAAUGGACUGCCUAAUGGCAGAAAUUCAACUCUGUAAUUAGCUCAUGUGUUUGAGUUUCGGAAGUAUCGCAGUCUUCUGCUGAGGCUAGUAAAAUCCGUUGUAAGAAAAAAAAACGCAGACAUUCUUGUGAAAGUCACUGAAGUGUACAAGAGAAAAAACCUGAAGCACCAAUGAGAAAACAGUGCUAACUGAAGUCAAAUCCUGAAAAGCAUAACAGUACUGCCAUUGAUUGCUGACAUUUUGCUUUACCCCUGAGAUGCUAUUUGACAGAAGUUGUCAGUCGUGCUUGAGAUAAUGUUCAAGCACAGACAUCACAGAUGCCAACUUGUAUAUUCAGGGAUAAAAAUGUUAAUCCAUGGGGCCAGCCAGAUUCUCAGAAUAUUGCAUCAUGGUCUCCACAGAAGAACACUUAGCUUGAAAUACUGAAAACUAUGUGAUCUUGUUGGUGAUUACAUGCUGAAGUCAAGCUGAAGCACUUGACUAAUGUGUGUUCAGGAGAGUUCAAAACUAGCUUAAAAAUAUUCCUAUUAUCUUAAAGCAAAAAAGAAGAUUCAAUAAAACUUAAAAAAAAAAAGAAAAAAUAAUGGUUCAUUUCUUCUUUAGGCUUCAAAGAUCUCCUUUUCAAUAUAACACACAAAUAUUUUAUG